CAGCCGCCGCGGUAAUACGUAGGGGGCGAGCGUUACCCGGAUUCACUGGGCGUAAAGGGGGUGUAGGCGGCUCGGUAAGUCGGGUGUGAAAUCCCACGGCUCAACCGUGGAAUUGCGCCCGAAACUGCCGAGCUUGGGGCCGGUAGAGGGAGACGGAACUGCCGGUGUAGGGGUGAAAUCCGUAGAUAUCGGCAGGAACGCCGGUGGGGAAGCCGGUCUCCUGGGCCGCGCCCGACGCUGAGGCCCGAAAGCUAGGGGAGCAAACCGGAUUAGAUACCCGGGUAGUCCUAGCCGUAAACGAUGCCCACUAGGUGUGGGGGAGUAUUUCCUCCGUGCUGUAGCUAACGCAUUAAGUGCCCCGCCUGGGGAGUACGGCCGCAAGGUUGAAACUUAAAGGAAUUGGCGGG
rnacentral:rRNA from 1 species